CAAGAUUUCAUCUUUUCUUAUGUAGAGUAGCUAGAAUGACAAAUCUUACCUCACAAAGUCAAUGUGAUGAUUAAAUUAGCGAUGUUAACCACUUUCUUAGAGCCUGACACAUGGUGAGUGAGCAUCAGCUGUUGUUACGUCCCCUAGUAAGAAAUAGUGAUGGGUCCUUAAAUAAAGCAGGAACAGGACUAUGAAGAAAUAAGCCACUUCCAGGUGGUAGUCUUCUUAUCACAGUCAUCAUCAGGAGUUCUGGUUGAAUGAAAUUAGGUGGGGGAUCAAGUGGUGAGGCCUUGGGCCCCAAAUUUUCUCUCUGAUGUCUGUGACUCACUCCCAUGACUAUCUGUGGGAUAUCAUCCCCCAGGCAAUACCUCCAUUUCUCCCACCACCAGCACUCACCCCACUUCCCCUGCCAUUGAUGCCUGAUUCCAGACCUCAUCUUGUCUUUGUGGCACUUUAAUUGUCUCUGAGUGUGAACAGUAAGUACAGCACACAUUAGGAACCUGCUGUUUAGGGAGUCGGGCAGUAGUGCAGCAGGUUAAACGCAUGUGGUGCGAAGCACAAGGACCAGUGUAAGGAACCUGCUAUUUGCACCACUGCUGGACCUCAACUGACAGCUUCUCCUCCUGUUCCAGUCACCUCACCUGCAGCUAGUCCCAGCCCCACCCCUGGGCCUUGUUUCCUCUGUCGCCCUCUGCCUGGACUUCCCUUAAUGGCAUCUCUGUCCUGGUGGAUCUUCAUCCCAGGCCAGUAGGGCACAGUGCUCUGAGGCCCAUAUGCUUUAAUAACUUCAGGGAAAUAUAGGCCCUCUUCUUUCCCAAUCCCAACUCAAUGAAAAUUCUGAGACCUGUGGGAGUUUCUGCCAAGUAUCAAAUAUGCCAGAGGUUUUAUUACUUCACUAUAGCCCUGCCUAAAUAUUCCUAUAAACUGGAGCUAAUUAAACCCAAGUGCUUUGAUAUGAAGGUAGUUUUCCUUUGAGAAGCCCCAUAUUAUAGCACUGGGUCCAGUUCCCAGGCAGUUGUGGUGACAGUGGGUAUAAAUAUUUCCCCAAAGUCUACACCCACAACUUCUUCACCCAUCAAAUAAGGUUAAGCAGUACAAUAACUCAUCACAUCCUGAGUUUGAAAGUAGCUGCAAAACUUGGAAGAUGGUGGCCAUCCAUGUCCAGCUGGAGGUGGCACUCUGGGCUUGGGCAUGGGGCUCAGUUUCAUAUUUAAAAAAAAAAGAGAGAGAAGACUGAGCAUCUACAGGGGAUGGGACAGAAAGAUAGGUCUUGGCAAGUUGGAGUGACACAGACGUACAGUUUUCAGGUUGGACUGGAUACUAUCUGCUGGAGAACAAGAGUCUGCAAAUGUCCACAAAAAGUUCAGGGGCCUGACUCCUGGCCUGAAAUUCCUGUGCACUUGCUUCUACUGCAGCACCAGAAGCCAUCGGUUGCAUUUCAGAAGACACUGAAAUCACAUGCAGAAAGAAAACUCAACCCAGGAUGCAUCCUAGUACCCACUGAAAUAGUGAGGAGCCUUCAGGGCUAGAACCUUCAUGAGCAGCUUUGGGAAACUUAAAGGCAUAUGUAUGGCAAGCCCUCUUAUGGUCAAGCCCUGGACUAGCUUCUACCUAGAGAGCAAGGAACUGGGUUUUGAAGGUUAAUGGUGGGUGAAGGCCAAGGUCAACACCUAGAAACAAUAGCCUUGGCUUUCUUGGUCAGUUACUCUCAGAACCGGCC